rnacentral:rRNA from 1 species
UAAUUCUGUGCCAGCAGCCGCGGUAAGACAGGAGAUGCAAGUGUUAUCCGGAAUGAUUGGGCGUAAAGGGUCUGUAGGUGGUUUGAAAAGUCUGUUGUUAAAUACUAGGGCUUAACCCUGGUCAGGCAAUAGAAACUAUUAGACUAGAGUACGGUAGAGGCAGAGGGAAUUUUCGGUGGAGUGGUGAAAUGCGUAGAUCUCGAAAAGAACACCAAUGGCGAAGGCACUCUGCUGGGCCGAUACUGACAUUGAGAGACGAAAGCUAGGGGAGCAAAAGGGAUUAGAUACCCCUGUAGUCCUAGCUGUAAACGAUGGAUACUAAGUGUUGGGUAAUAAUACUACUCAGUACUGUAGCUAACGCGUGAAGUAUCCCGCCUGGGGAGUAUGCUCGCAAGGGUGAAACUCAAAGGAAUUGACGGGGGCCCGCACAAGCGGUGGAGCAUGUGGUUUAAUCUGAUGCAACGCGAAGAACCUUACCAGAACUUGACAUCCCAUUUAGUAAGUCGAAAGACAUACUUUUCUCUUGUAGAAGAUGGUGACAGGUGGUGCAUGGCUGUCGUCAGCUCGUGUCGUGAGAUGUUGGGUUAAGUCCCGCAACGAGCGCAACCCUUGUUUUUAAUUGCAAUUUAUGUGGAAAUUAGAAAGACUGCCGGUGAUAAACCGGAGGAAGGUGAGGACGACGUCAAGUCGGCAUGCCCCUUAUGUUCUGGGCGACACACGUGCUACAAUGGCCGAGACAAUGGGAUGCUACUCGUGAGAUUAGGCAAAUCUCAAAAACUCGGUCUCAAUUCGGA